AACGAACGCUGACGGCGUGCCUAACACAUGCAAGUCGAACGAUUGUUAGGCUGUAGCAAUACAGUCUAAUUUUAGUGGCGCACGGGUGAGUAACACGUGAAUGAUCUGCCUCCGAGACUGGGAUAACCUGCCGAAAGGCGGGCUAAUACCGGAUGAGACCACGGCUUUAAUAGGCUGGGGUCAAAGAUGGCCUCUAUUUAUAAGCUAUCCCUUGGAGAUGAGUUCGCGUCCCAUCAGCUAGUUGGUGAGGUAACGGCUCACCAAGGCGACGACGGGUAGCUGGUCUGAGAGGAUGAUCAGCCACACUGGGACUGAGACACGACCCAGACUCCUACGGGAGGCAGCAGUGGGGAAUAUUGGUCAAUGGGCGAAAGCCUGAACCAGCAAUGCCGCGUGAGUGAUGAAGGCCUUCGGGUUGUAAAGCUCUGUCGGGAGGGACGAAAAAGAGCGAGUAACGCCGCGACUUGACGGUACCUCCAAAGGAAGCACCGGCUAACUCUGUGCCAGCCGCCGCAGUAA
rnacentral:rRNA from 1 species